rnacentral:rRNA from 1 species
UACGUAGGCAGCGAGCGUUGUUCGGAGUUACUGGGCGUAAAGGGUGUGUAGGCGGUUGUUUAAGUUUGGUGUGAAAUCUCCCGGCUUAACUGGGAGGGUGCGCUAUAGACUGUGGGACUAGAGUGUGGGAGAGGAAAGUGGAAUUCCUGGUGUAGCGGUGAAAUGCGUAGAUAUCAGGAGGAACACCGGUGGUGUAAACGGCUUUCUGGACCAUAACUGACGCUGAGGCACGAAAGCGUGGGUAGCAAACAGG